UAUAUAUGCUUUAUUGAAUAAACUUCCAAAAUUGUGCUGAGACAUUUUAAUAUAUGGAUCUAAUACAUGAUAUAUAUCUCAAUCUCCUUUUGUCUUUGCUUUCAUAGUAAGGAAAUCCUAUAGCUAUUUAUGGAUUAAUUGCUGAAAUUCUUUUAUAAUUGCUGAAAUUCUUUUAUAAUCGUUCCUCAGUUCAUAGUUAUAUACACGUGAAUAUGGUUCAUAAAAUCUUUGCAGCAGUGAUAUUACUGUUGACUUUUCACUCUCAUAAAAUCUGGUUCAUAGUCCUUGUUUCAUUUCAGUCUCAGGUCAUCAACAUCAAACAUAUCCUUGCACUUAGAUUUGAUUAACAUGAUGUAAUUCUCUCAUGAUUCAUUAAUGAUUUUUUUUAACUGUUUGUUGUAAUUUUAAUUAUUUUCAGUUGAGCAAUGUAUGUCUAAUUUAAUUUCUUGUUCAGUGUUCAACAUUGAAUGAAGAAAAAAUAUUUGAAGUUCAGGACAGCUUAUCACUGUUUCCUUUAGGCUGGAUACAUGGAUUGGAUCAGGAGAGUGAGAUUCCAUCACCAAAAGAGUUAGGAAGUAGGUCUUCUGGAGCAAGCAAUAAGGAAGCAUGACCUUACUUGAUAUGUUAAGACGUAUAUUAAGAAUUAUAUGUUAAGACGUAUUAUUGAAAAAUGUUACUUUGAUGCUUUGUUUUUGGAUUAUGACAUUUCAAUUAUGACUUGGAUUAUGACUUUUGGAUCAUGUAUGAAUUAAAAAUCAUCUAAUGAUGUUUGAUUUAUGAUUA